rnacentral:rRNA from 1 species
GAUGAGCCCGCGUUGGAUUAGCUAGUUGGUGGGGUAACGGCCUACCAAGGCGACGAUCCAUAGCUGGUCUGAGAGGAUGAUCAGCCACAUUGGGACUGAGACACGGCCCAAACUCCUACGGGAGGCAGCAGUGGGGAAUAUUGGACAAUGGGCGCAAGCCUGAUCCAGCCAUGCCGCGUGAGUGAUGAAGGUCUUAGGAUUGUAAAGCUCUUUCACCGGGGACGAUAAUGACGGUACCCGGAGAAGAAGCCCCGGCUAACUUCGUGCCAGCAGCCGCGGUAAUACGAAGGGGGCUAGCGUUGUUCGGAAUUACUGGGCGUAAAGCGCACGUAGGCGGAUAUUUAAGUCAGGGGUGAAAUCCCGGGGCUCAACCCCGGAACUGCCUUUGAUACUGGGUAUCUUGAGUGUGGUAGAGGUGAGUGGAAUUGCGAGUGUAGAGGUGAAAUUCGUAGAUAUUCGCAGGAACACCAGUGGCGAAGGCGGCUCACUGGACCACAACUGACGCUGAGGUGCGAAAGCGUGGGGAGCAAACGGGAUUAGAUACCCUGGUAGUCCACGCC